CCUACGGGAGGCAGCAGUGAGGAAUAUUGGUCAAUGGGCGCGAGCCUGAUCCAGCCAAGUAGCGUGAAGGAUGACUGCCCUACGGGUUGUAAACUUCUUUUAUAAAGGAAUAAAGUGAUGCACGUGUGCCUUUUUGUAUGUACUUUAUGAAUAAGGAUCGGCUAACCCCGUGCCAGCAGCCGCGGUAAUACGGAGGAUCCGAGCGUUAUCCGGAUUUAUUGGGUUUAAAGGGAGCGUAGAUGGGUUGUUAAGUCAGUUGUGAAAGUUUGCGGCUCAACCGUAAAAUUGCAAUUGAUACUGGCAGUCUUGAGUACAGUUGAGGUAGGCGGAAUUCGUGGUGUAGCGGUGAAAUGCUUAGAUAUCACGAAGAACUCCGAUUGCGAAGGCAGCUUACUAAACUGCCACUGACAUUGAUGCUCGAAAGUGUGGGUAUCAAACAGGAUUAGAUACCCUGGUAGUC
rnacentral:rRNA from 1 species